CUGGUAUUAUAUAAGAAACCAAAAUUAAAAUUUCAGAUAAGCUUAGAAACUAAAAAAUUUAAAAAUAUUAUUCUGUUCUCCAUAUGUUCAUAUUUAAUAUUAUUUCUUGUUUUCAUUCUUCUUCAGUGUUGCUCUACUAAAAUAUCACAUACAAUAGGUACUUUGGAUUUCCGCUCUUAUUACUCAAAAUUGUACACAUUUUCUCAUGCUCUUAAUUUAGUUAUGCUACUUUUCUUUACUCUUGGAAUUUUCACACUUGUGUUCACUCUCUUUUGAGUUCUCAUAGUAUCAAAUAAGCUUUUUUCCCUCUUUCUGAUUUGAAGGUUCAUCUUCUCAUAAUUAUUUUGUCCGCUCAGUUUCUUUUCAUUCUCAGUUAAGUGCCUCUCAUCUGGCUUUUCAUUUGUAAGGUUUAUUUUCAUCUUAAGCCAGUCUUUUAUUUAUAUUUUGAUUCUGUUUUGUGGAGGACAUACUUCCCUGAAUUUUAAGGAAGAGGCCAAAAGGUUUGUUCAAGUUUUUACCUGAUAGAUUGGAUUAAAUUAUCUAAUGUACACACCCUUAAUUUAAGUCUAGGGGCGACUCUCUACUCUCGAUUUUGUAUAGCAUUAUUUUUCUUAACAUCCAAGUCCAUCUUCAUCUAUUUGUAUAUGAUCAAUAAAAAUAUAUUUGUCCAGAACCCUGCUUUAGUGGAGUUACUUCUUUCUAAGUAGUAGAGGUAGCAGUUGAGACAUGAGCUGGGUUCUGGGUCAGUUUAGAGGGCUGGGCGACAUUCCUCCUUUUGGUCUGUAUGACUGAAUGAAUGCAGUUCUUGCUGUCUCGCUCCUCUCCUUAACACAUUGAGCCAUUGCAGCAGAUGAGAAGGAAUAAUCCUGAUCUGCCACUCAGGUGGAACACAUGUUCUCUCCAACCACAUCCAUAGAUUGUACUCACACUCGGCUAGAAUGUAUCCUGUCAAUGAUAUGGAGAUGUAUCUAUCUAUCUAGAUAGAUAUCUACUUUGGUUUAUGCUCUCUGGUUGCCCGUAAAUUAUCUCCUUAAAGUGAAUAUCAAAAGAGAGCUUGGUGAUGGCAGUGUUAUAAAAUCCUCAAAAUGCAGCACCCACACCCAGAGGUAUUUGUAGAUUCUGGGAUUCUAAUUCAGAUACCAAACUAUAUUAAAGGGGCAUUGGUCAUUGAGGGUUGCUAGGCUCUUUGUGGAGCAUAUUUGCUCUUUUCAUGACUUUGAAAUUAUUUUAAAAAUCUAACGUUUUUCUCAGUCUGCUGCAAGAUGAUUUGAUUUGAAUGUAUAAGCACUAAUUCUCCCCUAAGAUUUGUACAAUAUAUUUGCUCUGACAAGCCAUAACCAGCAACUCACUUCACAGCAAUUUAUAGCAUUUCCACGAUAAGUUGAAUUAUUUUUAACUAGAUUCUCUUUGCCUUAAUCAAAAUAUGAAGAAGCAAUAUACUUGUUCUAGUUAGGUUCAAAAGUUGGCAGUCUCUCUCCUCGAAAGAAUAAUAAAACUUUUCAACGGCCUAAUAUGCAUCUAUAGACACACACACACACGCACACACACGCAAGCACUAUUCAUAAUAUUUAAAGCACAUUCUGUUCUAUGACUUCAUUUGUCUAGCACAAAAUAAAACGAUCUCAGUAUAUGUCAAGUACCAAUUUUU
rnacentral:lncRNA from 1 species